UACGGAGGGUGCAAGCGUUGUCCGGAAUCAUUGGGUGUAAAGGGUGUGCAGGCGGAAGUCUAAGUCGGAGGUGAAAAGUUGCCGCUUAACGGUAACCGUGCCUUCGAUACUGGAUUUCUUGAGUUCGGAAGAGGUUGGUGGAAUUCGUGGUGUAGCGGUGAAAUGCAUAGAUAUCACGAAGAACACCAGUGGCGAAGGCG
rnacentral:rRNA from 1 species